GGGUGUAUAAGCAAUCUGUCUGUGACAUCUGUCACCCCAUUGAUCACCAGAGUUGAUUCUGCUGAUCUGGCUGGUUAGGAGGGUGUCCCCUUCCUCCCUCACCCUCCAUGUGUGCCCCUCCCAAAGCUACUGUGCUUGACUUUCCCAGAAUAGAGGAGGACCUGUCUUUGGGCAAAGGUAUACAAGUAGCUGUGCUCCCCAGCUAGAACCUCCAAACAAGCUCUCAAUUUAGCAUUUUGAAAAAUAAAAAUGGAAACCAGCUGGUAGUACAUUUUUUUUUCUAUUACUUAGAAU
rnacentral:snRNA from 1 species